AGGGACUACUACGCCGCAAUCGCA
rnacentral:siRNA from 1 species